rnacentral:misc_RNA from 1 species
UGUGAAAUUGCGAAACUUGGCUGCGUUCUCAAGCAGAAUACUGUUAGAUUGAGUGGUAAGACUGUGCUGGGGUUGUCUGUGAUUGUGUUUAUGAUGAUAUCAAGUGCUUGCCACCGACAAUGACAUCUGGGGAAUGGGAUUUGCGUGCGCUGAAGGCGCUCGAGGAGGAGGAGCAGAAGGAGUUUCUGGCACUCAGCCAACGGAAUCUGUUCGAGGCACCCCUGCCAACAGGUGGACCAGAAAAUGGCAGCAUUACUAACAGUUUGGACAAUGCCAAGCCGGCGCUAUCCUAUGCUCAACUGCAUCCACAUCUGCUCAAGCUGCCCACCAUCGACGAGUGCCACCUGAUUGCGGCUCAGCGCCAAUCCGCCGGCAGUGUCGCCAGCAGCGCUCGCUUGAAAUUUACCCGCGCGCUAUCCCUCUCAGCGCACUCGUUGUCACCACGUCCUGGGGGCAGAGGUGGUGGUGGAGUGGGCUUCGGCAAGAAGCUAAAGGCACGCCUGGUGGGUGCCAAAUCAAGUGGAUCUCUGUCGCCAUCCCGCCAUUCGCACAGCUACAGUGUCUCACCCGUGUACACACCACCGCCAAUGCGCCGUUGUGCCACCCUGCACCACACACAGCCCGUACGCAAGACCUUCAAGACGCUGCAGCAGCUAGAGCGGCAGAAGCAGAAGCAGAGCAAUGCAGCCCAAGCACAGGCGACACAGUCGGCCUCGACGACGCCACAACUCCAACGCAUCGUUGGCACGAAUAAGACAUAUUGGAAAUAUGGCGCCAACUCUACGGCUGCCUCAAUAAUUGGUCAGCGUGCCCGGCUGCAGCAACAACUGGAAUUGGACUCGAAUAACUCGGAUGAGCCACCCAAUGGAGAAGCACUCGAAGCGGACGCAAUCGAUAGUGCCACAGAGACGGGAUCGUGCAGUGUUCCCUUGCCGCCAGCUGACUCCAAUGAGCUGCUGCGUCUCAGCCUAAUGUUAACUGCUGCCAGUACGGCAAUGACGGCAACUGCGACAGCGACGGCAACAGCAGCAGCAACUGGUGGGCCAGUCAGACGCUAUCACACACACAGCGAUGUCGAGGACGAAACUGUUGCUUACGAAGCUUUUCACAGGCCCAAAAGCUUUGAGCGUUCUCUCUUACGCGGCGCAAGCUUAACAUUAACAGCGCAAGAGAGUCCCAGUCCCAAUCGGAAUCGGAGUCGGGCAAUGCAAUCCACAAACGGCAAGCGCAUAUUAAAAUCCACUUCUCUAGAGACUGGCGCUGCCUGUGAGAGUGCUCCAACUGACAUCUAUCAAAAGCAGCAACAACAACAACAACUACAACAACAACAACAGCAGCAGAAACAACAGCAGCAACAGCAGCAGCAACAGAUUAUUGGUCAGCCACUUGGCAUGAUGGGUCUGUCAACGGCUACAAAUCAGUUGGCUGAGCAGCAGGAAAGGGAGAGCGAUUGGGAAUUCGGACUGGGCUUGGGCUUGGGACGUGAACAGUUCAAAUAUCAUCAGGAUUUGGCAGUUGCCUGUUAUGGCCACAGUGCCGCAUUGGAUGAUGAGCUGGAGCAUCAUAUUAAGCAUUGUUCGUGCUCCUGCAAUCACAUGGGCUACGGCAAUUCAAUGGACUACCAGACAACCGGGUUUGGCGGGCUGCCAGACGUAACGGAACACUCGAACAUACGCCGCACACUCUCCCGCCAGAACUCUAUCUCCAACAGCGACUCCGGCGGCGAAAUAGCCAGCAUACAAAAGUCCAAAGUCUUUGGCAGCGCGAUGACGGGAGGCGUUGUUGUUGGCAACGAUAUCGCUGGCAUCGCUCUCGACACCAAGUCGCCCACCUCAUUGGCAACGGCUGCCGCAGCAGCAGCCGCAGCAGCAGCCGGUGCUGCCAGCAAGACGAAGGGCAAAAGCGGACGCAAGGCAAGGAAUAGCUCUGGUGCGGCACACAAGUCGCGACGCGGUUCCUGGAUGGUUGCCCUCACACUAGUAAGCGCCAUUUGUCUGCUGGCUAUAGCGGCUACCUUGGCCUAUCAGCACUUCCUCAUGUCGCCCAGUCGCAACUCGCACGCUCAAAGACUGAGAAUCGUAAGGCGCAUCCUGCGCGAAGUGCCUCUCGUCGACGGACACAACAACUUUGCCUGGAACGUACGCAAAUACGCGCAUAGCAGUCUGGAGCUGGUUCAUCUCAGUCACGACCUUGAUCAUAAGACGAUGUGGUCGCGUCCAACAUGGGCGCAGACAGACAUGGAACGACUUAAGCAAGGAUUAGUUGGCGUCCAAGUUUGGUCAGCAUACGUGCCAUGUGAGGCACAGGGCUUGGAUGCCGUCCAGCUGGCACUGGAGCAAAUUGACAUUGUGCGGCGUCUGUCGGACAUGUACGCAAGGGACACGGAGCUGGCGACAUCCUCGCAGGACAUUGUGGCCACGCAUAGACGAGGCCUGCUCGCCUCGCUGAUCGGCAUCGAGGGUGGCCACACAAUCGGCUCAUCAUUGGGCGUACUACGCUCCUUUUACUCGCUGGGCGCCCGCUACCUCAGCCUGACGCAUCGUUGCGAUGUGUCCUGGGCCGGGUCGAGUGCCUCCCCACUUGAACAGGGCCUGACGCCCUUUGGUAAGGCCAUUGUGCGCGAAAUGAAUCGCCUGGGCAUGAUGAUCGAUCUGUCGCACAGCUCGGAUGCAACGGCUCGCGAUGUACUACAGGUAACACGGGCACCGGUCAUCUUCUCACAUUCGGCAGCACGCCAGCUGUGCAACUCGACGAGGAACGUGCCCGACGACAUAUUGCGUUUGGUGGCCGAGAAUGGUGGUCUCAUUAUGUUGAGCUUUGACCCAGAGGACGUGGCCUGUGGACGACAGGCACGACUGCAGGAUGUCAUAGAACACAUUAAGUAUGUGAGAGCAAUUGCGGGCAUUCAACACAUUGGACUGGGUGCCGGCUACGAUGGCAUUGAGAUGCCUCCGAUGGGUCUGGAGGAUGUGUCCAAAUACCCGGAAUUGCUUGCCGCUCUGUUGGAGGAUCACAACUGGAGUGAAGAGGAUGUGGCCAUGCUAGCGGGACGCAAUUUCCUGCGCAUCAUGGAAACGGUCGAGACAGUGCGUGACUAUUGGAAACGAGCAGCCAUUCAACCCAUCGAACUGACAGAGCCACAACCGAAGACUCAGUGCACCUAUAUGUCAUCGUGACCACUGCCGCAGGCGGUGAGAACGCGCCGCGAUGAGCCCGUGACACAAUCGCACCUCGAGCGGGUCAACCCCAAUCACACCGAGGCUGCGGUGACGGGCAAUGCGCAACUCUGGCGUCAGCUGGAACCCAUCGCAAAUCAAACGGAAGUGCGACACAUGGCAGCUAUGGCAACCACUUUUACAGUCAGUGGACUCUUGCAGUAGAAGCACGGGCAAUUGAAAGAUGGAAUAAAUUAACGCUGGCACAGCAAUCAAAAUGACGAAUUGACGAUAUAUAUAUAUAUAUACAUAUAUAUACCACAAGACAUAAAAAUAAGAAUGUAUGUAUUAUAAAACAAAUUAGUACGUUCAUACGUAGUAUACGUCUAUAUAUUCAAAAAACCGAAAGAAAAAACCAAUUAUAGGCAUAUACAUUACUUAUAUGUGGGUUUCACAAUGUAUUUAUUGUUGAAUUUUCUAAAACUGUGUUUUCUAAAUAUUGCAAUUCAUUUUUAAAUUAAUUUACUUGCUUUGAAUUUAAUAUAAAUGAUUUGAUUUCUGUUGUUGGCAUAUGUAUA